rnacentral:rRNA from 1 species
AACGAACGCUGGCGGCAUGCCUAACACAUGCAAGUCGAACGAGACCUUCGGGUCUAGUGGCGCACGGGUGCGUAACGCGUGGGAACCUGCCCUUAGGUUCGGAAUAACUCCCCGAAAGGGGUGCUAAUACCGGAUAAUGUCUUCGGACCAAAGAUUUAUCGCCUUUGGAUGGGCCCGCGUUGGAUUAGCUAGUUGGUAGGGUAAAAGCCUACCAAGGCGACGAUCCAUAGCUGGUCUGAGAGGAUGAUCAGCCACACUGGGACUGAGACACGGCCCAGACCCCUAGGGGGGGCGGCAGUGGGGAAUAUUGGAAAGGGGGCGAAAGCCUGACCCAGCAAUGCCGGGUGAGGGAUGAAGGCCUUAGGUUUGUAAAGCUUUUUUACCCGGGAUGAUAAUGAAAGUCCCGGGAAAAUAAGCCCCGGCAAACCCCGU